CCUACGGGAGGCAGCAGUGGGGAAUAUUGCACAAUGGGCGCAAGCCUGAUGCAGCCAUGCCGCGUGUGUGAAGAAGGCCUUCGGGUUGUAAAGCACUUUCAGCGGGGAGGAAGGCGGUGAGAUUAAUACUCUCACCGAUUGACGUUACCCGCAGAAGAAGCACCGGCUAACUCCGUGCCAGCAGCCGCGGUAAUACGGAGGGUGCAAGCGUUAAUCGGAAUGACUGGGCGUAAAGCGCACGCAGGCGGUUUGUUAAGUCGGAUGUGAAAUCCCCGGGCUCAACCUGGGAACUGCAUUCGAAACUGGCAGGCUAGAGUCUUGUAGAGGGGGGUAGAAUUCCAGGUGUAGCGGUGAAAUGCGUAGAGAUCUGGAGGAAUACCGGUGGCGAAGGCGGCCCCCUGGACAAAGACUGACGCUCAGGUGCGAAAGCGUGGGGAGCAAACAGGAUUAGAUACCCGUGUAGUC
rnacentral:rRNA from 1 species